CCUGGCUCUGGCUCCAGCAGCGGGAUAGGCUCCCUCCUAAACAGACCAGUAAGGUGACUUCAGGUGGCAGUUGGAACAAAUGGCGUGAGGCCUCCUCAGGCCUGUGGGAAAUGUGUUCAGGAACAAAACCCCAAAAGAAUCCCCUAGCAGCGCCGGCAGCCAGGUAGAGCAGAGGAAGAUAUCAUGUUGGCGCAAAAGGACUGGACUCCUGCAACAUCCACUCACCAAGUGACUGCCGAGUCUUGUUGUCGGGAGCAGGAAGCGGGCAGCCGGGCACAUUCCAGCCAUUCCAUCACCCCCGGGCUCGGCUGUGCUCAGGCCGUCUUGAGGCCAGCCAGGGAGUGUCCGGCCUGCCACCAACUGCUUCUGUCAAGCCACCUGGCUGCCAGAAGAAGGGUCUGACCAGAACCUCAAGAAGUGGAAAACUCCCCAUCUCAUCUCACCAGUGCCCUGUGACAGAUGCCGAGCUCAGAGGCAGAGAGGAGGUGUCCAGAAGCCCUUGGUCUUUAAAUAACAACCUGGGAGAGGAAGAGGUUGGGGGAGAGGAGUCAGCCUCAGAUUACCUGCAGAGAAGAAAGAAGCGUGAAAGACAGAAAAGAAAAUAAGAAAAUCACGGCCAGAAUGGGCCUCGGGUAAGAUUUCAACUUUUUCCUCUUUUGUCUUCAGGCAGUAGAAAAUUGUAGAACUCAAAGUCCCACAAUAUCAUGAUAAAUAGCUAACACCCCCUACCUGAAAGGGGACUACAAACUCCCCUCACUACUGCUCAGGAGAAGAACAGUUACCAAGGCCUACAAAACAGCCACAGUCUCCUGAAUGCCUUGGCCAGUCUCUCUUACAAGUUAUAGGAAGCACCAGCCAAUUCCCUCCUCUUACCUGCUGCAGUGGAGGAACAACUAAUUUCCCUCUACCUUUCUAGAUUCUUGGCUGAGACACCGCCUACACACACACACCUAUAUUUGAAAGGCAGAUUAAUAGAAAAAAAGCAACAGAAGUUUGAUACCCAGAGAAACUAACUCCCUG
rnacentral:lncRNA from 12 species